GCCUGGGUGGCUCAGUCAGUUAAGCAUCAGACUUUGGCUCAGGUCAUGAUCUCGUGGUUUGUGGGUUUGAGCCCCACCUUGGGCU
rnacentral:tRNA from 1 species